UACGUAGGGGGCAAGCGUUAUCCGGAUUUACUGGGUGUAAAGGGAGCGUAGACGGUAAUGUAAGUCUGAUGUGAAAGCCCGGGGCUCAACCCCGGGACUGCAUUGGAAACUAUGUAACUAGAGUACCGGAGAGGUAAGCGGAAUUCCUAGUGUAGCGGUGAAAUGCGUAGAUAUUAGGAGGAACACCAGUGGCGAAGGCGGCUUACUGGACAGAAACUGACGUUGAGGCUCGAAAGCGUGGGGAGCAAACAGG
rnacentral:rRNA from 1 species